GUUUUCACACGGACAUCACAAAAUUUUAAAAAGUUGUCGUUUUUUAACACAUGAAUUGCUCGGCUCAGUUUUUUCUUUUAUAAAAAAAAACCUGCAAGCAGUUCUAAGCAGACGUCAAGUGUAAACAAAGUAUGUGACACAAGCAAUGACAACGAGAUCGAAGGAAGUUAACGAUUAAAAUCCAAUACUGAGAAACUGAAUAUGCAUAGAGGUGGACGAAAGGUAUAUCAAUGUGUUUCAUGUGGUAGAAGAACAAAAGCUGACCAAAGGCGAUUCAUUACUAGAUCUUCAUACGAAAGUUACAGAGUGUACCUAGCCAUCACCACCUGUCAAGAAAAAGACGCAACGUGUACCAACUGCUAUUCCAAGUUUUACAGAGCAAGUCGUGUUCGUAAUUCAGUUGACAAAACUACAGAUUGUGUUUCAAAUUCAUUGUAUGACAGUGAUCCAAAUUAUGAACCACCAGUUAAAACAAGAAAGACAUUGUGCGUGAAAAGCCCAAAAGUGAUUCCUCUUCCAAUACAGUCUUCUGGGAAGAGCCAUUCCAGUUGUGUAAUUUGCAAGGAAGUUGUUUGAAGUUGCUAACAGUGUCUACAGAUAUAAGACACAGAAUAUUUAUUAGGAUAGGUCACAUGUUACUGCCUUGCCUGGAACAAGGUGCUGCCAGAUACAUAUGACAUCAGAUUUCUCCCUAAGGGAAGAUGCGAUCAAGUUUCUGGCAACUGCUUCCACUGAAUGUCAAACCCUUUUCAAUAAAAGUGACAUAUAUUUAAGAAAUAAUAUAUCAUUUUUGAAUGUUGUUGGGAUAUGACAUGAAGUUGAUCACGUGAUCAAAUCCUAUAACGCCCGAAGGGCGUUAUAGUAGAUUUGAUCACGUACCAACGUCAUGUCAUAUCCCAAUAACAUUAAAAAAUGAUAUCUUAUUUCUUAUAUUUAUAUUUUCUAUUUUGAUUUGUGUUCUUACCGAGCUUCCAUGAUUAUGUAGCAGAUGACCAAAAUAACGAUCGUAGAACACAAAAUAUAGUUCGUAAGAGUUUUAUCGAAUAAAAAAUUAGGAACAACAUCAAAGAGAAUAUAAGAUAUAGACAUUUAAUUGAAAAUGUUAAAAAAAGACGAAACAUGUGUAAAAAUAAAGGUAAUUUAGAGCGUAAAGUUAACUGAAAUGACAAGAAGAGCGGAGUAAACGACAUCCUGGUGUGAUUUGGUCGCGAUCAGCGAUGGAGAAACUGGCGUCGGUCUAGCUUACUAAGUUGAAAACGCAAUUGUUGAUCACAGAUUUCGACAGAAAUUCAAAGGAUCUGAGAGAAUUGAUGGUGGAUAUGAUGGGCCAAGUUAACGUUAAGCUCUUAGUCGGGUUUUUGGAAAGAAACAACGGUAUGUUCAACGUUAGAACUCGCGGUUGUAGCUAUGCAGGAGACGAUUCAAGACAGUAGGACAUAUUUAGACCAAGUGCAGGAUUUUAAUGUCAGAAGACUCGCACCGGUACCCUGAUAUGUACAUGCAAAUUUUUCGAGCCUCGAAACCAGCCUCGCUUAUAAUCAUGCCGAGUCAUAUCCGUGAUGGAAGUUGCCAGGAAACAACAGGUUAACUUAUCAUCAUGAAGUAAAUAAAUGUAGGCUUAUAACUCUGCCUACAUGUUUUCGCUUCCAAUAUCAUAUAACUUUAUUUUAUAAAUUCGCCAUGCAGAAGUUGCAGAUGGUAUUUAAAACUGUAUAAAAUGAAACAACAGAAGGAUAUGUUUAAUGUUUCUCUUUUAUAAAUUGAUGAAAUUCUUAUUUUUUACAAAAUAAACUGUAUAAAUAUC